rnacentral:rRNA from 1 species
UACGUAGGGGGCGAGCGUUGUCCGGAUUUACUGGGCGUAAAGAGCGCGCAGGCGGUCAAGUCAGUCGAAUGUGAAAGCCCCCGGCUCAACUGGGGAGGGUCAUUCGAUACUGCUCGACUUGAAGGCAGGAGAGGGAAGUGGAAUUCCCGGUGUAGCGGUGAAAUGCGCAGAUAUCGGGAAGAACACCCGUGGCGAAGGCGGUUCUCUGGGACGGUACUGACGCUGAGACGCGAAAGCGUGGGGAGCGAACAGG